rnacentral:rRNA from 1 species
AGAGGGUGCGAGCGUUAAUCGGAUUUACUGGGCGUAAAGCGUGCGUAGGCGGCUUCUUAAGUCGGAUGUGAAAUCCCUGAGCCUAACUUAGGAAUUGCAUUCGAUACUGGGAAGCUAGAGUAUGGGAGAGGAUGGUAGAAUUCCAGGUGUAGCGGUGAAAUGCGUAGAGAUCUGGAGGAAUACCGAUGGCGAAGGCAGCCAUCUGGCCUAAUACUGACGCUGAGGUACGAAAGCAUGGGGAGCGAACAGGAUUAGAUACCUUGGUAGUCCACGCCGUAAACGUUGGGAACUAGGUGUGGGCGACAUCCACGUUGUCCGUGCCGCAGCUAACGCAUUAAGUUCCCCGCCUGGGGAGU